GAGUUUGAUCAUGGCUCAGAAUCAACGCUGGCGGCGUGCCUAACACAUGCAAGUCGAACGCGAAAGGGGAGCAAUCCCUGAGUAGAGUGGCAAACGGGUGAGUAACACGUGGGUGACCUGCCUUCGAGUGGGGGAUAACGUCCCGAAAGGGACGCUAAUACCGCAUGACAUCCUGCUUUUGGAAAAGCGGAGAUCAAAGCUGGGGAUUCGCAAGAACCUAGCGCUUGAAGAGGGGCCCGCGCCUGAUUAGCUAGUUGGUGAGGUAACGGCUCACCAAGGCUACGAUCAGUAUCCGGCCUGAGAGGGCGGACGGACACACUGGGACUGAGACACGGCCCAGACUCCUACGGGAGGCAGCAGUGGGGAAUUGUUCGCAAUGGGCGCAAGCCUGACGACGCAACGCCGCGUGGAGGAUGAAGAUUUUCGGAUCGUAAACUCCUGUCGAGCGGGAAGAACAGCUUUGGAGUAAAUACCUCUGAAGCCUGACGGUACCGCUAAAGGAAGCCCCGGCUAACUCCGUGCCAGCAGCCGCGGUAAUACGGGGGGGGCAAGCGUUGUUCGGAAUUACUGGGCGUAAAGGGCUCGUAGGCGGCCAACUAAGUCAGACGUGAAAUCCCCAGGCUCAACCUGGGAACUGCGUCUGAUACUGGAUGGCUUGAAUUCGGGAGAGGGAUGCAGAAUUCCAGGUGUAGCGGUGAAAUGCGUAGAUAUCUGG
rnacentral:rRNA from 1 species